CCUACGGGAGGCAGCAGUCGAGAAUCAUUCACAAUGGGGGAAACCCUGAUGGUGCGACGCCGCGUGGGGGAAUGAAGGUCUUCGGAUUGUAAACCCCUGUCAUGUGGGAGCAAAUUACAACGAUAGUACCACACGAGGAAGAGACGGCUAACUCUGUGCCAGCAGCCGCGGUAAUACAGAGGUCUCAAGCGUUGUUCGGAAUCACUGGGCGUAAAGCGUGCGUAGGCUGUUUCGUAAGUCGUGUGUGAAAGGCGCGGGCUCAACCCGCGGACGGCACAUGAUACUGCGAGACUAGAGUAAUGGAGGGGGAACCGGAAUUCUCGGGGUAGCAGUGAAAUGCGUAGAUAUCGAGAGGAACACUCGUGGCGAAGGCGGGUUCCUGGACAUUAACUGACGCUGAGGCACGAAGGCCAGGGGAGCGAAAGGGAUUAGAUACCCUUGUAGUC
rnacentral:rRNA from 1 species